GCUCAACCGAGGAAGUGCUUCGAAAACUGGUAAUCUUGAGUGCAGAAGAGGAAAGUGGAACUCCAUGUGUAGCGGUGGAAUGCGUAGAUAUAUGGAAGAACACCAGUGGCGAAGGCGGCUUUCUGGUCUGUAACUGACGCUGAGAUUCGAAAGCAUGGGUAGCAAACAGGAUUAGAUACCCUGGUAGUCCAUGCCGUAAACGAUGAGUGCUAAGUGUUGGAGGGUUUCCGCCCUUCAGCGCUGCAGCUAACGCAUUAAGCACUCCGCCUGGGGAGUACGAUCGCAAGAUUGAAACUCAAAGGAAUUGACGGGGGCCCGCACAAGCGGUGGAGCAUGUGGUUUAAUUCGAAGCAACGCGAAGAACCUUACCAGGUCUUGACAUACCAUGGAGAGCUUAGAGAUAAGUCUUUCCCUUCGGGGACAUGGAUACAGGUGGUGCAUGGUUGUCGUCAGCUCGUGUCGUGAGAUGUUGGGUUAAGUCCCGCAACGAGCGCAACCCUUAUUAUCAGUUGCCAGCAUUCAGUUGGGCACUCUGGUGAGACUGCCGGUGAUAAACCGGAGGAAGGUGGGGACGACGUCAAAUCAUCGUGCCCCUUAUGACCUGGGCUACACACGUGCUACAAUGGUCGGUACAACG
rnacentral:rRNA from 1 species